AUAAUGAAUUGAUGACAUUUGCGACACAGGCCGAUUCAGCUUUGGAAUGUACAUAGGACUAAAUUAAGUCUUCUGAGCUGGACAGACCUUAUAAGGUAUUAAUGAGAUUGCUGCCAAAAAUAUCGCUAACAACGUUAACUAGAAAGUAUUGUCUCAGUUUGCGUUCAUGAGGAGUUUCGUUACAGCGCACAUUCUGCGCAGUUGUUUUGAUUCGAGUUCAGAGACCAGUAACAGAGAAAACGAGAUUUGGCGGAGACAAAGAAUGCUACUGCCCAGCAUUAUAAGUU